ACUGUAGCAUUUUUUAUUAUCUAUGAAUGUUUUAAAACCAUUUUCUUAGACUAUUAAACCUAUAAUAUCGUUAUUUGUGUUCAUGAAGGAAACAGAAUCACACUAAUUUAUUUAAAACCCUUAAAUAUAAAAUACUUCUUUCAUAUUGCUUAUUAUUUUAUUUCUUUUAUACUUUUUAUUUUUUCAAAUUUACCAUUUUUGAACCUGUCUUUAUUUCCUAUAAAGCACUUAUUGUUUCAAAAGUGGCUUGCUCCACUUCCACAUUGUCUGUGGCACCUGCACAGGAACCGCUGCCAAAACAAAUUCUCCGUGUUUUCCCCGCCGUUGUACAACAGCGGCGGCAGAUUCACCCGGAGGAGCUCGGCGGCGGCAGGAGUGUUCUGCAUUAAAAAUCCUUUUGAGUCGAUCUCCGCUGGAUACACACACCUGAGGUGAGAGCUUCAAGCGCCGGCGAGGAACGCUCUGGUACACGACACGUUCAGAUUUCAGAGCCGUCUUGAGCAUGAAAGUGACUUUCUGAUCGCCUCCUUGGCCCCGCGGCGUCUGCUCGAUUUCUUCAUCCCCACAAUGAUGUCGAGGGUCACGACUCGCUUCCUCCUGGAAACAGUGACAGACAACUGGUACACAAACACACAUUUAGAAAGACUUUCUUGGCAAUAGCUAUGACUAUUUCAAAACAACAGCAUGUCUUUGGAAAUACAGUUCCAUUUCUGACAUGUAGACAUAAAUCUCUCAGCAGAAGGUCAAGUCUUUGUGUCGCUGCAUCUCAACAAAAAAGAUGAAAGCAAAACGCCUCGGCGGUAAAAGUGCGUGACGCCGCCGUCUAAUGAGUCCAUAAAGUCUUCUCCUCAGCAUCUCCAACAACUCCUCUC